AGAACGAACGCUGGCGGCAUGCCUAAUACAUGCAAGUCGAACGAACACUCCGGUGUUAGUGGCGCACGGGUGCGUAACGCGUGGGAAUCUGCCCUUGGGUUCGGAAUAACAGUUGGAAACGACUGCUAAUACCGGAUGAUAUCGAAAGAUCAAAGAUUUAUCGCCCAGGGAUGAGCCCGCGUAGGAUUAGCUAGUUGGUGAGGUAAAGGCUCACCAAGGCGACGAUCCUUAGCUGGUCUGAGAGGAUGAUCAGCCACACUGGGACUGAGACACGGCCCAGACUCCUACGGGAGGCAGCAGUAGGGAAUAUUGGACAAUGGGCGCAAGCCUGAUCCAGCAAUGCCGCGUGAGUGAUGAAGGCCUUAGGGUUGUAAAGCUCUUUACCCGAGAUGAUAAUGACAGUAUCGGAGAAUAAGCCCCGACUAACCUCCGUGCCAGCAGCCCGU
rnacentral:rRNA from 1 species